UGACUUAGCCAGACAAUCGCGUGUAAGAAAUUAUACGAGGAAAGUCCGGGCUCCAAAGAGCAGGGUGCUGGGUAACUCCCAGUGGAGGCGACUCUAAGGAUAGUGCAAUAGAAAGAUACCGCCAGAUUUAUUCUGGUAAGGGUGGAAUGGUGAGGUAAGAGCUCACCAGCGUAUAGGUGACUAUAUGGCUCUGUAAACCCCAUCUGGAGCAAGACCAAGUAGGGAAUCAAAAAGGCGGUUGCUCGCUGUCUUCCCGGAGGUAGGUCGCUUGAGUCUAAGGGUAACCUUAGGCCUAGAUAGAUGAUUGUCUAAUACAGAACCCGGCUUAUAGGUUAUGUCGCAGA
rnacentral:RNase_P_RNA from 1 species